rnacentral:precursor_RNA from 1 species
CUUUACCAGGUUUAACCAGUAGAAUACCCAAGUCGAGAUCAAGUUACACGGAUCGAUCAGCGUCUAAUAAAAAGAUUUCACAAUACCGUCUUCGACUAGAAGAGAAGCAGAAAUUACGUUUUCAUCAUGGAUUAACAGAAAGACAGUUACUUAAAUAUGUUUGUGUCGCUAAGAAAGCAAAGGGGUCAACUGGUCAAUUUUUGUUGCAGUUGCUUGAAAUGCGUAUGGAUAAUACUAUGUUUCGUUUGGGUAUGGUUCCCACAAUCCCUGCAGCAAGACAGUUAGUUAAUCAUAGACAUGUUUUAAUCAAUGCAAGUAUGGUUGAUAUACCAAGUUAUAAUUGCAAAAUCGGAGAUAUAAUAACAAUAAAAAAUCGGGGAAAAAACCAAUUGAAACUUGAAAGCARUACAAAUUCAGUGCAGAAACCUGGAAUACCAAAUCAUCUAGCUUUAGAGUCAGUUGAAUUUCGUGGAUCGGUAAAUAMAACGAUAGAUCGUGAAGGAAUUGAUUUAAAAAUCAAUGAAUUGUYAGUUGUGGAGUAUNAUACUCGUCAAGUU